rnacentral:rRNA from 1 species
CGGACGGGUGAGUAAUGCUUGGGAAUCUGGCUUAUGGAGGGGGAUAACUGUGGGAAACUGCAGCUAAUACCGCGUAUUCUCUGAGGAGGAAAGGGUGGGACCUUAGGGCCACCUGCCAUAAGAUGAGCCCAAGUGGGAUUAGGUAGUUGGUGGGGUAAAGGCCUACCAAGCCUGCGAUCUCUAGCUGGUCUGAGAGGAUGACCAGCCACACUGGAACUGAGACACGGUCCAGACUCCUACGGGAGGCAGCAGUGGGGAAUAUUGCGCAAUGGGGGGAACCCUGACGCAGCCAUGCCGCGUGAAUGAAGAAGGCCUUCGGGUUGUAAAGUUCUUUCGGUAAUGAGGAAGGGAUGUUGUUAAAUAGAUAGCAUCAUUGACGUUAAUUACAGAAGAAGCACCGGCUAACUCCGUGCCAGCAGCCGCGGUAAUACGGAGGGUGCGAGCGUUAAUCGGAAUAACUGGGCGUAAAGGGCACGCAGGCGGACUUUUAAGUGAGAUGUGAAAUCCCCGAGCUUAACUUGGGAACUGCAUUUCAGACUGGGAGUCUAGAGUACUUUAGGGAGGGGUAGAAUUCCACGUGUAGCGGUGAAAUGCGUAGAGAUGUGGAGGAAUACCGAAGGCGAAGGCAGCCCCUUGGGAAUGUACUGACGCUCAUGUGCGAAAGCGUGGGGAGCAAACAGGAUUAGAUACCCUGGUAGUCCACGCUGUAAACGCUGUCGAUUUGGGGAUUGGGCUAUAUGCUUGGUGCCCGAAGCUAAC